UAUUCCCCACUGCUGCCUCCCGUAGGAGUAUGGGCCGUUCUCAGUCCCAUUGUGGCUGUUCAACUUCUCAGUCCAGCUACGCAUCAUCGCCUUGGUGGGCCCUUACCUCACCAACUAGCUAAUGCGCCGCAGGCCCCUCUUAUGGUGGAUCGCUCCUUUAAACAUCUAAUCAUGUGAUUUGUGAUGUCCUAUCCAGUAUUAUCCUUCGUUUCCAAAGGUUAUCCUCGUCCUUAAGGUAGGUUACCUACGUGUUACUCACCCGUUCGCCAUGGUCUAGCAAGCUAAACCAUUCGACUUGCAUGUAUUAGGCAUGCCGCCAGCGUUCAUCCUGAGCCAA
rnacentral:rRNA from 1 species